AAUCUAUGGGGUAUUUUGAGCUGAAACUUCACAGACACAUUCAGGGGACACCUUAGACUUAUAUUACAUCUUUUAAAAAGACGUUCUACGGCACCUUUAAUGUGUUAUUUAAUGAAAAUCCUGACCUUGGCCGUUGGUCUUCUGUGCUCAGUUAAUGAGACUCUAUUAGUGCCGCAGUUCACUCCGACUUGCCCAGAAAUCAAGAUUAAUAAUAACACAACAUGAAAUGCAAUCCAUGUACUUUCUUCUCUGAGAUUUAUAAAUUCGUUGUGUUUGUCACAACAAAAAGUUAUCGUGUUCAAAUCUGUGAACUGUCAUUCUGACUGUUAUCAGUCCAGAGAUAUUCAACUCAGUGAAGAAAGUACAAGGAUACUUUUUUGGGAUUUCUAGGCAUUCUAUUUCAUGUUGCAUAUUUAUUAAUCUUGAUUUCUUACAACAUGUGUGCUUUUCUGGGCGAGUUAAUGAAUUGCGAUGCUAAUAGCGUCUCACGAAAGCGCACGUUGUGCAGUCCAGCACAGAAGACCAAUGAUCAUGGUCAGGAUUUUUGUUAAAUAUUACAUUAGUUUUCAUUUUGUUUUUCACUAAGCCCUAUCGUUUACCCCCAGAACACUUGAAAUAUACGGCACGUGUCGCAUGGGAUCAUUCUGUGAUACUUUUGCGUCUUUUUUAAAAACUUGAUGCUGGUCGCCAUUCACUACCAUUAUUUUGACAAUUUCUUUUUUUAAAUUCUCCUUUUGUGGACCAUAAAAGAAAGAAAGGCAUACGGCAUUAUAACAACAGCGGGGUGAGUAAAUGAUGACUUAAAUUUUCAUUUUAGGGUGAACUAUCACUUUAACUUUUCUAUAGUGCACUGAAACUCAGCAAACAGGGAAGUUCACUGAAGAUACUGAACGCCAUCUUUUCUUUGUGGAGGCUAAUCAUCAUGUGACUUUCAAACCAGCCUAUGACAGAAUCAUACAUGUGCACCAAUAGAAGAAUAAGAUAUAUUUUAUACUGGAUUUUUUUAGUUCUAAGAGACAACUGGAUGAUCCACGAUGACCCGGAGGCUGACCAGAUGAACUUCCACAUAGACACAGGACUUCUUAAUCAGUCUUCAAAGCUUCCUCUGCGGAGUUUAAGAGUAAAGGCACAGUCUCCAUGGAUCACAGGGAUUUUAUUAUGUCUCUUUGUAUUUGAUGUGCAUUCAAACACCUUUCUAUGAGAUUUUUGAAGAAACGCAUCAGGAAUAGUGAUCAUCUGAGACCCGUCUUCUGAGUUCUCGUAUAAUGGGUCAAUUAGAAGUAAAAUAGAACGGAGUCUUCCCAUGAGCCUUCUGGGCCAGACAGAAGAUUUAUUACCCGCGCUGGUAUCUGAAUGAUGGAUAGAGCAGUAAAGCCUGGUUAUUUUAGAUGGCAGGAUGCCCAGAAGAGGAACAGGUGAACAGAGGUCAGUCAGGGAUGCCUCCUAUCUCCGAAGCUCCUCAACAUCAUCUUGGAGAGAAUAAUGAUGGAAGCAUUGGAGAACCACACAGGAACUGUCAGCGCUGAUAAGACAAAACGGAGGACAAUCUGUCCCCAAAGUAUUGCAGCACAAAUAACCAUCCAGAACCAGUGCCUGCACUCCCGGUGUCCCAGUUCAAAUAACUUCCAAGCCAGAAAUUAUGGCCAGGAUAGCCCAGACUACAACAGCACUUGCUAGACUGAAGCCAAUAUAGAGGGACAAAAACAUCAAAGCUCAGACUUAUGCAUACUCAAGUUAUCUCCAUCUACCUGCAUGCAUGUGAAUCGUGGACACUGACGGCUGAGCUUGAGAGGAAAAUUCUGGCCUUGGAAAUGAGAUGCUUUCAAAAGAUUCUGGGCAUCAGCUAAAAAGACCAUGUGACCAAUGAGGACAUGUGCAACACCAUUAUAGGCAGCAUGCUGGGCCCUAUGAAGAACUCCUGGCAACAGUCAUAAGAAGGAAAUUGCAGUGCUAUGGUGCAGUGCAUUCGGUUGAAGGUACAAGAAGGAUAUAUAUUUUUUUCUUUUUCAUUUUUAUGAUAUCUCAACCAUUUCACACGCAUGCAUGUACUGAAAUACAACUACAGCUGCCUAGUUUACAGAGCGUUUCAUGUGUGCGUACAUCACUGCAGCAGUCUGUUAUGUGUUGCACUUCAAUGAUUCAAACAUCCUGUCUGCCAGAGUGAGUCAACAUCUCAUUCACAAAUAAAUGAACAGAUGCUUACAUACACACGCUGAGAAACGAGCCAAACACAUCCUGAAAUACCCUCGGCGGAUGCCUCAAAGCCUCUCCGUUCAACAUGACAACAUGACAACACUUUCUUAUAAUCAGCCUGUCAAACACUCCCCAGGUUUCCUGAGCUUACCUGCAGAUUCCAUAUGGAGAAACAAUACUGAGGAUUGGAGGAGAGAGAGAUAUUCCAGCCCCAUAUGGGGCUGCCAUCAGGUCUGAAACUGCCAUCAAAACCGACUCUGAGAACAAGAACAAGUGCUAGAGGAAAAGAGAGAACAAAUAUAAGAGUUAAAUGGAGCUCAAACCAAUUGUGAUAUGAUCUGUAAUCCGAGAAAGAUGACAGGACAUUGAGAUGAUUUAACACAGCUGGGUGAAUGAAGUGGAAAACCUGGGCCACCUUUAUUCUCUCUAAACCACCUUAUAAUUCCUCUACAUCACAUCUGAAAACAUCUCAUUAUCAGUGAGCAAUGCUGCAUUUUGUUUUCCCUUUUAUUAUAUUUUUGCCUUUGCACUAGUAUGCACCAUUAUCAACAAGUAUGCUGAAAACACCUCAUGAUACUAAUUUUUGGCCUUCUUUAUCAUUCAUACAAAAUGUUAUGUUUAAGUCUUAUUGUUUGUUCACUUUUAUAUGCAAUAGAAAAAAAUAUAUAACUAAGCUAACAAAAAUAUGUUCUAAGAACAUUUCUCCAAUGU